AUGCAGCAAACCCAGCCGCUGAAACGACACUCCCUCCAAAGAAACGCUCUGUUUCCUCCAGAUUCAUUCCUUGGCCUCUGUGAAACGAGUUUUCACCCCGGUUCCCUCUGGCCAACCCUUCUGUUCCUACAAGGACCCCCUUGUGCCUGGGAUGACCUCAUCGUGCUGCACAUUUUGGGAUGCACUUCCCCAUUACGCUUCGCCCGUGGGGUCCAAGCCAGCUCCAAGCCUCUCCCCCCACCCUGCCUGUUUGUUUCCUCAGCCCUUCUCCAUCGCGUGGCACCAGCUCGAGGUGCGCCGGGUCGCGCACACACACCGGGCGCACGGGGGGGUUCCCAAAUUGCGCCUUCGGGGUCUCCCCCGGCGGGUUGCAACCCCUUUGCCUUUGUUCCCCCGACGGGGCGGCAGCAGGGGGGUGACGGAGGCAGCACCAGGGGCUGCGGGCGGGGCCGGGGCCGCCCCGACAGGAGGGGCGGUCUCGGUAAAGCGGCGGCGCGGCGGGGGCCGGGCUCAGUGCGCGGGGCUGCGCGGCGCCGGCCGCUGCGCUUCGCCCAUGGGGCAGCCACCGAGGGGCCCCCCGGCCGGCCGCUCCCUUGUGUCCUGCUGAACUCGAGUGCUCGGGAUGUUCAGCUGAUGAUGCCCAAGUUGUCUGAGUUACCCAGAGAGGAGUAAAUGAGCCAGGAGUGCCUGGCCGAGCGUGCUGGAUGUGUCAGACAGCCCAGCAAGCUGCUGCUGGCUGCAGGACAGCAUUUCUUGUCCGAGGUGAGCCCAGCUGCUCGCUCUUGCCGUUGGCGUGCUGCUGCAGGUGGUAGCAGGACCGGGGCUGCUGGGUUUAAUUAUAGCUCCUGUCUGAGACACUAAUAGAGCAACAGAGCGUUUCUGUCUUCUGCUGGGGAAACCGAGCACUUCGCAGCUUUUGAUUGCUGUGUAACACUUCCCAUGACAUGGGAAGAAACUUUCCUGUUCCCUCUGCGAGAGGAAAUUGGAAACCUGUGGGCAGUGAGAUCCUGGAGCUGAGAUGCAGCCCCCAGGCUGCGGCUUGGCCUUGGUUCAUGGUACUCCUUGGGAUAGGAUAUUCCUGUCUCCAUGCUGCCCAGCCUUACCAGAGUGUCAUCAGCCUUUUGUUCUUCUCUUAGCCCCUGUCCCGUCCAUUUGCUAAGGGAUUGCGUGUCUGAGAUCCCACAUUUCUCCUUCCCCGCUCCUUACAAAGAUGGGCAUUACCCAGGUGCAGGCAGCCCCCUGUUGGCUCUGUGCAAAAUCCCCCUUCAGCGAAGGAUUAGCUGGGGUUAGCCCUGUGUGUGUGCGUGUGUCUGGGGUGUCUCUGUGUGGUUUGCAGCCUGCAACGCAGGUGGUUUGGGCUUCGAGGUUUCCUCUGGCUUCUCUGCAGGAGAUGGUCCGGAGGCACCGCUGAACGAACGUGCCUUUGGGCCUGUGCCUGCUGGAGCUGCUUAAGGAAGCAGCAGGGCUGUGGCAGAGCCAGGGGAUGAACCUCUGGCAAGAGAUGUUUCCUGCUGGCGUUGCAGAGGGACUUCUGGACUUAAAGGGCAGCUUUUCACGUGGGAAAGGAGUCCCAUGCACCCGGCAGGUGAGGAAUCUGCAGUAUCCCUGUUGGCGUGGGUGUACGGACUGUGCCAGACUGGGCAGGAGCAGCAGUCACAUCGUACUGCCACGGCGGCUGAGUGCUAAUUGUUUCUGCUGCCUGAGCAUCCGAUUAUUUCGGCUAGAUCAAGUUUCAUUCCCCGUAGCUCUCUGAGGCUUCCUGACCUGCAGAAUUGGUCUGGGGAGUUUCUUUUUGCUGGGCUGGUGAGCUCAUACCCCUCACCCUGGGCAAGGGCUGCUGUGUAUUCCUCCCUGCAAAAAAUGCAAACGAUGCUGUUACUGUUUGAAGAUGUUGGUAGCAAAGCCUUGUGCCGCAGCUGGCAAGGAGGAUAUCCACUGGGAGGUGGGCAGAGGGAUGCUCUGCCUCAGCUGGCUGGUGGCAGAGAGGUCUUAAUCAUCCCAAUCCCAGCUCUGGAGAGAAGUCUAGGCAAAGGGCUGGCUCGCUCAGUACGGACUCAGAAUGUGCAGCUGCAGAAAUAUGGCAUGGGAUGGCUGUACCUCAGUAGUUAUCUGGCUCGGGUGUCUGCUCUAGUAUGGAUAUCCCAGGGAAACUUUGAUGAAGUUGCUUGGAUAGGAUCCAUAAAGGAGCCUUGUGGCUCUUGGGUGUGCGUUUUGGGUUAGAUGUGGGAUUGAUCUCGUCCCUUAGGAUUUCAGAGUCCUCAAAUGUCAGAGUUUGCUAACCGAGAGAUUUUCCGCACUUAAAAGGGAGCGUGCUGUGCCUUCAUAUGUGUGUGGGGAAGGUGUCUUAGAUCCUGCUUGAUGAGUUAAGUCAAAGGUUUGCAGGAGCCAAGGUGACGAGUACUUCUUUGGAUCCUGUCUUCAGUCUCCUGGUGUUUCCAAAGUGGGGAUGCCAUCUGUCCCGAGAGCGCAGGGCUGUGGUGAGGCGAGAUCGGGAGGCACUGAGAUACUUUGGUAAUGAGCCUCUUGGAAAAGAAGAGGGAAGAGAGAACUUUGCAUGUUUUUUCCAUCAGACAGCUCUUUCCCUUUCUGACUGGCCUUGCUCUUGCAUGACUGCUCUGACCUGUGCACCCACUGCCUCUCUUCUUUGCCCUGCCCCUGUGCUUGAGCCCAGACUUUGCCUCUGUCCCUGGCCGUGUAGGUGCCUGGAGAGCUCUCCUGGGGCCUCCUGCCCUGGGUCUUGCUUUCUGCUGGGCGGUGGGGCAGAAGGCACAGCUCAGCACGGGAAAGGAGCUGGCUGCUGGCCCUAAAGAUGGAUCUCUUGCUCGCACAGCCCCUUGUUUGGAGACAUCUGUUCCAAAAUUGCAGUAAUUAGGAUGUAAACAUCUGUGCUCUCUCACUGGGUGCCUUGGCCACUGUGGCUGCUCCUGUGGCAUCAGGGAUGAAAAGCUGCUCCAUAUGGCACGGUUGCCUCAAUCUUCCCCCGACAAGCCGGCACAGUGGAGCAGCUGAAGGGCUGUCUGGUGUGAUGGGAGGGAGCGGGGAAGGAUCUGUCCUGCUCAGCCUGCUGGCCUUUCUGUGGGAGCUGCUGACUGGGAAACCCUUUGGCACUUCUGCUGCCAUCUCUCUCUUCCCCUGACGCAAGAAGGCAUGGUUUUACUCUCGUGGCUCAGUGCCCACACGUGUGAAAUGCCUGUAGCAGUGUUUGCCUCUUCAGGUUGGGUGAAGAGCACCCAGGGCUUGCAGAGCUCAGUGGUGACGUGGUAUUGUACAGGGGCAGUGCUGCAUCUCUGUAUUUACCAAUGUCUCUCAACCUGUGCUUCGUGAAAGGUGCUUGGGCAUGGCAGGUCAGAAAGAGCAUACAUCCACUACAGGAGUAUAAUAACUUCUUGGUCAACAUCUAUAAAUGAAGGUGGGCUCAAGGCCUUGCGUUGCCUCUGGCAUGUUGGUUUGGGAGCUCUGAAACCAGAGCAAGUCUUCUCCCCGGCCUCAGCAUGGCAGAGCAGACCAAAUUUAUGGUCAGGAUAAAUGUACUAAAACUGUACUCUCACUCAUCGUGGUUCAACUCCAGCUCGUUUUUAUUUUCACUUACUCUGCUGGCAGACUGGGAGUGUCCUCAGACCCUUGCAGCGAGCUUUGUGGUGCCCUCACAAGCAGCAGGACAGCUCUCUCAGCUGCUCAGCAGCAGCGUGCUGAAGCCAUAGGAACAGGGGCUGGUCAUUCGGUCGCUGCACCUUGCUCCUUGCCAGACCUCCCUCGAUGGGCACGCAGCUCUGGCUGCUGAAGCAUCGUCAAACAUCCUCUCCUCUUGCUGGAAGAGAAGCAGAGAUGCUGGGGGAAGAGCUGUGGAGGUGGGGAGAGAUGGAGCUAUCUUUAGCGUGGCACCGGUGAGGUUUCUUUGCACCACUAAGCAGUAGCUGUCACCACUGAGUACAGUAUUCAAGGGGACAGAUUCCGAAAGAAGCUGAAGAAAAAAAGUGAAGAAAAGGGAUAUUGAAAUUUAAAUAAUAAAAAAACAUCUUUCAGCUUCA
rnacentral:lncRNA from 1 species